rfam:Schistosoma curassoni strain Dakar, Senegal genome assembly, scaffold: SCTD_scaffold0001547
AUUCAACUGACGAGUCCCAAAUAGGAUGAAACACACGUCCUGGAU